rnacentral:rRNA from 1 species
AGAGUUUGAUCCUGGCUCAGAUUGAACGCUGGCGGCAGGCCUAACACAUGCAAGUCGAACGGUAACAUUUCUAGCUUGCUAGAAGAUGACGAGUGGCGGACGGGUGAGUAAUGCUUGGGAACUUGCCUUCGCGAGGGGGAUAACAGUUGGAAAGGACUGCUAAUACCGCAUAAUGUCUUCGGACCAAACGGGGCUUCGGCUCCGGCGCAAAGAGAGGCCCAAGUGAGAUUAGCUAGUUGGUAAGGUAACGGCUUACCAAGGCGAA